rnacentral:rRNA from 1 species
GACGAACGCUGGCGGCGUGCCUAAUACAUGCAAGUCGAGCGGGGAUUAUGCUUGAUCGCUUCGGUGAGACGGCAUAUAUCCUAGCGGCGGACGGGUGAGUAACGCGUGGGUAAUCUACCUCGUAGUUCGGGAUAACAGGCCGAAAGGCUUGCUAAUACCGGAUGAGUUCAUGCUUAUGCAUAUAGGCAUGAAGAAAGGGCUAGCCCGCUAUGAGAUGAGCCCGCGUCCCAUUAGCUUGUUGGUGGGGUAAUGGCCUACCAAGGCAACGAUGGGUAGCCGGCCUGAGAGGGUGUACGGCCACACUGGGACUGAGACACGGCCCAGACUCCUACGGGGGCAGCAGUAGGGAAUUUUCGGCAAUGGGCGAAAGCCUGACCGAGCGACGCCGCGUGAGGGACGAAGGCCUUCGGGUUGUAAACCUCUGUCUGGGGGAUGAGAACGGACGGUACCCCGGAGGAAGCCCGGCUAACUACGUGCCAGCAGCCGCGGUAAAUAGCGUACU